UACGGGGGGAGCAAGCGUUGUUCGGAUUUACUGGGCGUAAAGGGCGCGUAGGCGGCCACCGCAAGUCGACUGUGAAAUCUCCGGGCUUAACCCGGAAAGGUCAGCCGAUACUGCGGGGCUAGAGUGCAGAAGGGGCAACUGGAAUUCUCGGUGUAGCGGUGAAAUGCGUAGAUAUCGAGAGGAACACCUGCGGCGAAGGCGGGUUGCUGGGCUGAUACUGACGCUGAUGCGCGAAAGCCAGGGGAGCAAACGGG
rnacentral:rRNA from 1 species